rnacentral:SRP_RNA from 1 species
GAAGGUCCCCCGUGUGGCGUUACCUCGCCCAACUCCCCCAGGGUCGGAAGGCAGCAAGGGUAAGUGAGCUCUGUCGGGUACGCGGGGGACCCCCAUCU